rnacentral:pre_miRNA from 1 species
AUUCUACUCCCUCCGUUCGGAAUUACUUGUCUCGGAAAUGGAUGUGUCUAGAACUAAAAUACAUCUAUUUCUGUGACAAGUAAUUCCGAACGGAGGGAGUACUAU